UCUAUUUUUAAAAAAAUACAACUUUCUGACUAAAUGACGAUAUUUGUUUUGAUGUAACAUUUUAGCGAAUACAAAUUGUAGAUGUUGAUGCUGCUAUUGCAUUGUUUAGUAGCUAUUAUCAUUCCCCAACAACAACAAAAAAAAAAAUAGUACUGUCCUACCUACUGUCUCUAGAGCAAGUGGUAAAGGGCAUGAUGGUUGGUAUCCGAGGUUCCAAGUUCGAAUCCUAAUUGAUUCACAUUUCUAGCUAAGUUUAUUUCUAAAUGAAAUAAACGAAGCGGAUAGCGUGCUACCUAUCUCUAAAAAAAAAAAAAAAAAAUACUGUCCUCACUCAUCAUUCAUGACUGACAAAAAUAAUUUAAUCAUAACUACUUUCAACAAUAAAGACUAAUAAUAAGUAAAACUUCUAUAUAGCAGUCACAUCACUUCAGCUAUAUUGAACUAAUCAAAUAUCUCUUUCUUUAAAAAAAAAUAUAAUAAAAAUUAAUCUUUUAUAAAUUAUG
rnacentral:lncRNA from 1 species